CUACACAUGCAGUCGACGGCAGCACAGUAAGAGCUUGCUCUUAUGGGUGGCGAGUGGCGGACGGGUGAGGAAUACAUCGGAAUCUACCUUUUCGUGGGGGAUAACGUAGGGAAACUUACGCUAAUACCGCAUACGACCUUCGGGUGAAAGCAGGGGACCUUCGGGCCUUGCGCGGAUAGAUGAGCCGAUGUCGGAUUAGCUAGUUGGCGGGGUAAAGGCCCACCAAGGCGACGAUCCGUAGCUGGUCUGAGAGGAUGAUCAGCCACACUGGAACUGAGACACGGUCCAGACUCCUACGGGAGGCAGCAGUGGGGAAUAUUGGACAAUGGGCGCAAGCCUGAUCCAGCCAUACCGCGUGGGUGAAGAAGGCCUUCGGGUUGUAAAGCCCUUUUGUUGGGAAAGAAAAGCAGUCGAUUAAUACUCGGUUGUUCUGACGGUACCCAAAGAAUAAGCACCGGCUAACUUCGUGCCAGCAGCCGCGGUAAUACGAAGGGUGCAAGCGUUACUCGGAAUUACUGGGCGUAAAGCGUGCGUAGGUGGUUGUUUAAGUCUGUUGUGAAAGCCCUGGG
rnacentral:rRNA from 1 species